UGAUUUGAAGAGCUUGCUCAGAUAUGACGAUGGACAUUGCAAAGAGUGGCGAACGGGUGAGUAACACGUGGGAAACCUACCUCUUAGCAGGGGAUAACAUUUGGAAACAGAUGCUAAUACCGUAUAACAAUAGCAACCGCAUGGUUGCUACUUAAAAGAUGGUUCUGCUAUCACUAAGAGAUGGUCCCGCGGUGCAUUAGUUAGUUGGUGAGGUAAUGGCUCACCAAGACGAUGAUGCAUAGCCGAGUUGAGAGACUGAUCCGCCACAAUGGGACUGACACACCGCCCAUACUCCUACGGGACGCAGCAGUAGGGAAUCUUCCACAAUGGGCGAAAGCCUGAUGGAGCAACGCCGCGUGUGUGAUGAAGGGUUUCGGCUCGUAAAACACUGUUGUAAGAGAAGAAUGACAUUGAGAGUAACUGUUCAAUGUGUGACGGUAUCUUACCAGAAAGGAACCGCUAAAUACGUGCCAGCAGCCGCGGUAAUACCUAUUUUCCAACCUUUAUCCCUAUUUAUUUCCCCUAAACCCACCCCACACCUUUAUUUAAU
rnacentral:rRNA from 1 species